ACUCCAACCCAAUGUGACGCUACCAAACUGUUGCCUCGGCGGGGUCACGCCCCGGGCGCGUCGCAGCCCCGGAACCAGGCGCCCGCCGGAGGGACCAACCAAACCCUUCUGUAGUCCCCUCGCGGACGUUAUUUCUUACAGCUCUGAGCAAAAACACAAAAUGAAUCAAAACUUUCAACAACGGAUCUCUUGGUUCUGGCAUCGAUGAAGAACGCAGCGAAAUGCGAUAAGUAAUGCGAAUUGCAGAAUUCAGUGAAUCAUCGAAUCUUUGAACGCACAUUGCGCCCGCCAGUAUUCUGGCGGGCAUGCCUGUCCGAGCGUCAUUUCAACCCUCGAGCCCCCCCGGGGGAUCGGCGUUGGGGAUCGGGACCCCUCACACGGGUGCCGGCCCUGAAAUACAGUGGCGGUCUCGCCGCAGCCUCCCCUGCGCAGUAGUUUGCACAACUCGCACCGGGACCGCGGCGCGUCCACGUCCGUAAAACACCCAACUUUCCGAAAUGUUGACCUCGGAUCAGGUAGGAAUACCCGCUGAACUUAAGCAUAUCAAUAAGCGGAGGAAAAGAAACCAACAGGGAUUGCCCCAGUAACGGCGAGUGAAGCGGCAACAGCUCAAAUUUGAAAUCUGGCCCCUCGGGGUCCGAGUUGUAAUUUGUAGAGGAUGCUUUUGGUGAGGUGCCGCCCGAGUUCCCUGGAACGGGACGCCACAGAGGGUGAGAGCCCCGUCUGGCUGGCCACCGAGCCUCUGUAAAGCUCCUUCGACGAGUCGAGUAGUUUGGGAAUGCUGCUCAAAAUGGGAGGUAUAUGUCUUCUAAAGCUAAAUAUUGGCCAGAGACCGAUAGCGCACAAGUAGAGUGAUCGAAAGAUGAAAAGCACCUUGAAAAGAGGGUUAAACAGUACGUGAAAUUGUUGAAAGGGAAGCGCUUGUGACCAGACUCGGGCGUGGCGGAUCAUCCGGGGUUCUCCCCGGUGCACUUCGCCGCGUCCGGGCCAGCAUCAGUUCGCCGCGGGGGAAAAAGGCUUCGGGAACGUGGCUCCCCCGGGAGUGUUAUAGCCCGUUGCACAAUACCCUGCGGUGGACUGAGGACCGCGCAUAAUCUGCAAGGAUGCUGGCGUAAUGGUCACCAGCGACCCGUCUUGAAACACGGACCAAGGAGUCGUCUUCGUAUGCGAGUGUUCGGGUGUCAAACCCCUACGCGUAAUGAAAGUAAACGCAGGUGAGAGCUUCGGCGCAUCAUCGACCGAUCCUGAUGUUAUCGGAUGGAUUUGAGUAAGAGCAUACGGGGCCGGACCCGAAAGAAGGUGAACUAUGCCUGUAUAGGGUGAAGCCAGAGGAAACUCUGGUGGAGGCUCGCAGCGGUUCUGACGUGCAAAUCGAUCGUCAAAUAUGGGCAUGGGGGCGAAAGAC
rnacentral:rRNA from 1 species